UUCCACGGAACGGCCUUAUUGCUUUGAUAUGCAAAAGGCGUCGGCUUGGACACUGUCCGGGGGUAUACGGGUGUGGAGCCGGUCCCCUUCCUAGUAAAACAUAUUACUAGGGCCUUGGGGGUUAGAGGAACCUUCUUUUCUUCCGACUGCAUGCAAAUUUGUGGUUCUUCCCUCUCUCCUUUGGACACUUCAAGCUGCCCCCAAUCCAUGAGCU
rnacentral:lncRNA from 1 species